AUUGAACGCUGGCGGCAUGCCUUACACAUGCAAGUCGAACGGCAGCACGGGUGCUUGCACCUGGUGGCGAGUGGCGAACGGGUGAGUAAUACAUCGGAACAUGUCCUGUAGUGGGGGAUAGCCCGGCGAAAGCCGGAUUAAUACCGCAUACGAUCUACGGAUGAAAGCGGGGGACCUUCGGGCCUCGCGCUAUAGGGUUGGCCGAUAGCUGAUUAGCUAGUUGGUGGGGUAAAGGCCUACCAAGGCGACGAUCAGUAGCUGGUCUGAGAGGACGACCAGCCACCCUGGGACUGAGACACGGCCCAGACUCCUACGGGAGGCAGCAGUGGGGAAUUUUGGACAAUGGGCGAAAGCCUGAUCCAGCAAUGCCGCGUGUGUGAAGAAGGCCUUCGGGUUGUAAAGCACUUUUGUCCGGAAAGAAAUCCUUGGCUCUAAUACAGUCGGGGGAUGACGGUACCGGAAGAAUAAGCACCGGCUAACUACGUG
rnacentral:rRNA from 1 species